ACUUUAGCUGGGCAGGUCUAGAUAGGUCUUCUUUGCUGGGACGUGUCUUUUUCUGUCCUGGAAUACCCUAAACUUCACAUUUUGGCAGCGUGAGUUUUCCCUUUGUGACUUUCUCCUUCUUCCCUUUUUUCCUCCUUCUUUGCAGAGAAUGAGUAGCCACUGCACCUUGCCCUGCGCCAUCAAUGAGAAGAUCUGCUCUUAGUAGAGCCCUGCUUUCCCGCUGAAGGCCCUGAAAUCACCUGUGUUCCAGGCCACCCACUAAGGAUAAACAAAGCUUCCCUGAUAUGGGGAAUUAGCUCAAGUGGUAGAGCGCUUGCUUAGCAUGCAAGAGGUAGUGGGAUCAAUGCCCACAUUCUCCAAGCUUUAUUAUUUAGGUACCCAAACCCGAGUCAGUGUCUGAGAGCAAGACACUGCUCUCGGUGUCUUUGGUUCAAGACAUAGGAGCAGCAACAAUACAGGACUGGUGACAGCUUCCUGCUGGCAUUCAGUAUAGUGUAGAUCUACUGUGUAAUUAAUUUUCUGUUUCUUCGAGGAGCUGUGAAACCAAAGGACAUAUAAAACUGCUCUUUUCUCCCUGUUUCUGCCUGCAGCUUGGUCCUAAAUGUGAGACAAUUGUGAAAAGUGGAGGACAGAGCCACCUGGUUAAAUACAGCCCCAGCUUUCUGGUGAGAGGACUGAAACCAAGAUGUGUCAAGUAACUAGAAUGUGCCUGGACAGAUACUGUAGAAAGCAAAACCAUAAAGUUGUUCAUGAGCUUGUGGACGCACCUGCCAGCUGUGAAUAAGUGGCUCUAAUCCCGAACAACUUACCUAAAAAGAGCCUGAGAGCUGAACUGUGCAAUGGCCCACUUUCCAGUCCUCACUGACCACUGGGUUGCACACACUUUGGAGAUCUCUGAACAGCAGUGUCAAGGCUUUCAAAUAGAGUUAUCUUUGAAACGACAACACAUGAAAGUCUGGUUGGUACUUGGAGCUUAAAUACAAGGCAAUUGUGUGCCUGCAAAAACAAAAAUAGCAAUAUUAUCCUUAAGAUUUCAACAAGACACAGUGUCUCAUCACAUAAUCCAAAGAAGUCCAGGUUACAAGCCCCACAAUAUUCAGCAUUAUGAAAAAACAGGGAGAUCUUAAUUCACAUGGCAAAGAGAAUCCUCGAAUAACAAUAUUGAGAGGACACAGAUGUCAAAAUCAUCUGACACAUACAUUAAAGCAGAUAUUAUAACAAUGCUCCUAGAAUCGGGGAUAACAUUCGUGAAGUGAAUGGAAAGUUGGAAAGUCUCACCAAAUAUUUCGAAUACAUAAACACCAAUUUAAACUUAAGAAUUAAAAAAAUGUAUUAACCAAAACUCUUAGGGGAAAUAAAAAGCUUAAUUGGAGGAUCUCCAUAAUCGAAUGCAGAAGACUAAGGAAAAAGUCAAUGAACUUGAAAACAGAACACGAAUACCUACAUAAUCUGAACUAUAGAGAGAAAGGAGGAUUUUAUUGUCUCUGAACAGAGGCUCAGGCACAAAUAAAAAAUAACAAAUCCAACAUUCACAUUAUUGUAAUCUGGAAAGAAGAGGACAAAGUGGUCUUUGUGGGAUAAAACUUUGAACAAUUAAUAGCUGAAAAUGGUUCAAAUUUGUCAAAAGAUAUAAACCAGAUUUUUAAAGUUCAGUAAAUGUCAAUCAGGAUAAACCCAAAGAAACCCAUAGCAAGGCAUAUCAUAAUCAAACUGCUGAAAACUAAGAAAAUACAAAACAAUUUUGAAAGCAGCCAAAGGGAAAUGAAAGAGAAACUACCAAAUGAAUGAUUGUAGAUUUCGCAUCAGGAACCAUAGGGGCCAGAAAAAAUGUCAUAACAUUCGGAGACUACGGAAAAGAAGAGUGACUAAGAUCUCUGAAGAAGGGAAAAGCUAGAUGACUGGGCCACAAGAGGAAAAAAAGCAGCAAGACAGAGAUUUGUUGGUGCCAACUAAAUGAGCCCAACAGCCAGUGACAACAGAACUGCACUAAAAAAAGUCCCUCAUCAGCUCUUGAGAGCAGGUUCCUUAAAGGUGAACAAUAUUCCACAUACAAGGACUUUUUCAGCACCAUGCAUUAGAAAUGGAAGUGAAUGUUUAUUAUUUUUUGUAUAAGUUGGUUGAUACGGCUUUUCAGCUUCCCUCAGUAUCAUUAUCCAAAUUUUGUAGAUGACACUAAAGCUCAGAGGAGUUAAACCAUUUUCCUCAAAUCACAUAGUUUUAAAUAGGAAAACCAGAUAUGAAAAGCAGAUUUUUUUCUAAAUUAAAAAAAAAAAAAAAACUUGAGCUCUUGCUUUACCCUAGCACAUAGUCUCACCAUCUGUUUUCUCCAUGCCAGGUCAUUCAUGUAACAUUCAUUCACAUAACAAAUACAAAUAAAUGAGUGGAUUCAUUCAUCAGCUAUUAAUUCAGAAUCUCUUUUGUGUCUACCACACUAGGCUCAAGACUUCCCAGUGUCUUUGUCUCCUCUCCCUCAAAUCUCUCCACCCAAUGUCUUGACAAAUACUGUAGAUCCUUCCUGCACAGCAUCACCAGAAUGUUUUUCUUUCUUUUCAUUCACCUCUGUCAUCAUCCAUGCUAUGGUGUUUAUGGAGGAUGUAUUCUGCAGCAGGAAGUGUGAUGGGCACUGACGCUGCAGAAAGACUCCUGUUGUCCACCUCGGGAGCUGACACGAUAAAUGCGGGUAAAUCUCAAUCCUUUAAUAUCUUUAUGACUUCUUUCUCUUUCUCUUCAAUUUCUAUUUUCUCAUGUUCAAGCUCUGACAUUCAAAACUAAACACCUUUCUCUAACAUGUUGCUUUAAUUAUUUAAGCAUUCUGCCUGGGAUUUUUUCAAUUACUCUUGGGAGUUUUCAUAAAACUCUACCAACAUAUCUCCAAGUGGCCAGGCUUUUCAAUCACUGCUUCCCUCCGUGUGUAUUUCACACACACACACACACACACACACACACACAGCACUUAAAUUGAACAGGUUUAUUUCUUCACACAGGAAUUCCUACGAACAGCCCGGUUUUCUCCACCAUAUGUCCACUCCUUCUCUGCAUAGCUGAAUUUUGAUUCUUACACUCUAAUAUUUUACAUAUUCUUACACUCUGAUAUGAUCUUGUCUCUUAUUCUUUAUGGCUCUGCUCUGUAAUUUUGUUGUUGUUGUUCUGAGAUAUAGUUGGACAUGUAACUUGUACAUGACACACCUUAGCAAGGAGGCAACCUAUAUCUCAGAUGCAAGUGAAAGAAGCACUCCCCAGGGGUUUCCUAAGGUAGUGGUCAGCACGCUGGCUUCAUUCCUGAAAGGGCCUAGUUAUGAAAACAACAGGAGCUUUUUGCCUUCCAGAAAUCUGUACCAUCUCAAAAUCCCCAGAGAGUCUCAGCUACAAGGAACAAGUGAUAAUACUAUCUCACUUUUAUAAACACACACACACAACACACACACACAAAAUCAUUUAAUCAUUUUUAAUUAUUUAAUCAUUUUUUAAAAAUCAGUGACACUUUAGAUGGGCAGGUCUAGGCAGGGCCUCCUUUCCUGGAAUGUGCCUUUUUCUGUCCCGGAAUACCCUAAACUUGACAUUUUGGCAGUGUGAGUUUUCCCUUUUUGACUUUCUCCUUGUUCCCUUUCCUCUUCCUUCUUUGCAGAGAAUGAGUAGCCACUGCACCUUGCCCUGGGCCAUCAGUGAGAAGAUCUGCUCUUAGUAGAGCCCUGCUUUCCCGCUGAAGGCCCUGAAAUCCCCUGUGUUCCAGGCCACCCACUAAGGAUCAAUAAAGCUCCCCUGAUGUGGGGGAAUUAGCUCAAGUGGUAGAGCGCUUGCUUAGCAUGCAAGAGGUAGUGGGAUCGAUGCCCACAUUCUCCAAACUUUAUUAUUUAGACCCUGGGUCUCCAAACACUCAGGUCUCCAAACCCAAGUCAGAGAACAGGAUGCUGCUUUGGUUCAAGAUGUAGGAGCAGCAACAAUACAGGGCUGGUGACGGCUCCCUCCUGGCAUUCAGUAUAGUGUAGAUCUACCGUGUAAUUAAUUUUCUGCUUCUUUGAGGAGCUGUGAAACCAAGGGACAUAAACAAUUGCUCUUUUCUCCCUGUUUCUGCCUGUAGCUUGAAUGUGAGGCAACUGUGAAAAGUGCAGGGCAGAGCCACCUGGGUAAAUACAGCCCUGGCUUUCUGGUGAGAGGACUGAAACCAGGAUGUGUCAAGUAACUAGAAUGUGCCUGGACAGAUACUGUAGAAAGCAAACCCAUAAAGUUGUUCAUGAGCUUGUGGACGCACCUGCCAGCUGUGAAUAAGUGGGUCUAAUCCCAAACAACUUACCUAAAAAGAGCCUGAGGACUGAACUAAACAAUGGUCCACUUUCCAGUCCUCACUGACCACUGGUUGCACACACUCCAGAGAUCUCUCAUCCGCAGUGUCAAGGCUUUCAAAUAGAGUUAUCUGUGAAACAACAACACAUGGAAGUCUGGUUGGUACUUGGAGCUUAAAUACAAGGCAAUUGUGUGCCUGCAAAAACAAAAAGAGCAAUAUUAUCCUUAAGAUUUCAACAAGACACAGUGUCUCAUCACAUAAUCCAAAGAAGUCCAGGUUACAAGCCCCAAAAUAUUCAGCAUUAUGAAAAACCAGGGAGAUCUUAAUUCACAUGGCAAAGAGAAUCCUUGCAUAACAAUAUUGAGAGGACACAUAUGUCAAAAUCAUCUGACACAUACAUUAAAGCAGUUAUUAUAACAAUGCUCCUAGAAUUACGGGAUAGCAUUCAUGAAGUGAAUGGAAAGUUGGAAAGUCUCACCAAAUAUUUGGAAUAUGUAAACACCAAUUUAAACUUAAGAAUUAAAAAAAGUAUUAACCAAAACUAUUAGGGGAAAUAAAAAGCUUAAUUGGAUGAUCUCAAUAGCAGUAUGCAGAAGACUAAGGAAAAAGUCAAUGAACUUGAAAACGGAACAAGAAUACCUACAGAAUCUGACCUAUAGAAAGAAAGGAGGAUUUUAUUGUCCCUGAACAGAGGCUCAGGGACAAAUAAAAAAUAACAAAUCUAACAUUCACAUUAUUGUAAUCUGGAAACAUUCACAUUAUUGUAAGAGGACAAAGAGGUCUUUGUGGGAUAAAACUGUGAAGAAUUAAUGGCUGAAAAUGUAUCAAAUUUCUCAAAAGAUAUAAACCAGAUUUUUAAAGUUCAGUAAAUGUCAAGCAGGAUAAACCAAAAGAAACCCAUUGCAAGACAUAUCAUAAUCAAACUGCGGAAAAUUAAGAAAACACAAAACAAUUUUGAAAGCAGCCAAAGGGAAAUGAAAGAUAAAAUACCAAAUGAAUGAUUGUAGAUUUCUCAUCGGGAACCCAGGAGCCAGAAAAAAAUGUCAUAACAUUCAGUAAAUACCAAAGGAAAAAUACAUUAUCAACCCAGAAUGGUAUGUGGAGCAAAAGUAUCUUCCAGACAUAAAGGCAAAUAAAUGCAUUCUCAUUGGAAGGUAAAUAAAUACAUUCUCAGUCCUAGCAAAACUGCUGGAAAAGAAUUAGCAAAGGUUUGAGAUAAGAAAAGUGAUACCAGAAGGAAACUUAGAACAUCAUCAAUGAAGGAACAAAAGCAGAAAUAGAAAAUGUCUGGGUAGACAUAACAGACUAUUAUUCUUCUCUUGAGUUCCUUAAGACAAUGAGUAGCCACUGCUGUUUGCCCUGGCCCAUCAAUGAGAAGAUCUGCUCUUAGAGCCCUGCUUUCCUGCUGAAGGCCCUGAAAUCACCUGUGUUCCAGGCCACCUGCUAACAAUAAAUAAUGCUGCCCUGAUGUGGGGAAUUAGCUCAAGUGGUAGAGCGCUUGCUUAGCACGCAAGAGGUAGUGGGAUCGAUGCCCACAUUCUCCAAGCUUUAUUAUUUAGACAUCGUGUCUCCAAACACUCAGGUCUCCAAACCCAAGUUAGUGUCUGAGAACAGGAUGCUGCUUUGGUUCAAGACGUAGGAGCAGCAAUAAUAGAGGGCUGGUGAUGGCUCCCUCUUGGCAUUCAGUAUAGUGUAGAUCUACCAUGUAAUUAAUUCUCUGUUUCUUUGAGGAGCUGUGAAACCAAGGGACAUAUACAACUGCUCUUUUCUCCCUGUUUCUACCUGCAGCUUUGUCCUAAAUGUGAGACAAUUAUGAAAAGUGCAGCGCAGAGCCACUUGGGUAAAUACAGCCCCGGCUUUCUGCUCAGGGGACAGAGUUUGAGGCACUGCAGAGGAACCGGCCAAAGUAUGAGACCCAUAUAUUGAGAGUAACAGAGUGUAAAGUUCAAAAAAAUCAAAAUAUUUAAAGAUUUAUCAUGGGUCUUGAUGACAUGAUGGAAUCUCUCUACUCUCUGGACUUAUUAUGUGUGGUAAUAAAUUUACUUUUUAAAAGCCAGUUGAGUGUUUUUAAUGUUGUGGAGCUAUUGCUAAGAGUUUCCUGAGUUUUUUCCAGUAAUGUAGAGAUCUUUGUGCUAAAUAUUUCAUAAAGAAGUUUGG
rnacentral:tRNA from 1 species